rnacentral:rRNA from 1 species
AUUGAACGCUGGCGGCAUGCCUUACACAUGAAAGUCGAACGGUAACAGGUCUUCGGAUGCUGACGAGUGGCGAACGGGUGAGUAAUACAUCGGAACGUGCCCGAGAGUGGGGGAUAACGAGGCGAAAGCUUUGCUAAUACCGCAUACGAUCUCAGGACGAAAGCAGGGGACCGCAAGGCCUUGCGCUCACGGAGCGGCCGAUGGCAGAUUAGGUAGUUGGUGGGAUAAAAGCUUACCAAGCCGACGAUCUGUAGCUGGUCUGAGAGGACGACCAGCCACACUGGGACUGAGACACGGCCCAGACUCCUACGGGAGGCAGCAGUGGGGAAUUUUGGACAAUGGGCGCAAGCCUGAUCCAGCCAUGCCGCGUGCAGGAUGAAGGCCUUCGGGUUGUAAACUGCUUUUGUACGGAACGAAAAGACUCUGGUUAAUACCUGGGGUCCAUGACGGUACCGUAAGAAUAAGCACCGGCUAACUACGUGCCAGCAGCCGCCGUAAAAC